UACGAAGGGGACUAGCGUUGUUCGGAAUUACUGGGCGUAAAGCGCACGUAGGCGGACUUUGUAAGUCAGGGGUGAAAUCCCGGGGCUCAACCUCGGAACUGCCUUUGAUACUGCGAGUCUCGAGUCCGAUAGAGGUGGGUGGAAUUCCCAGUGUAGCGGUGAAAUGCGUAGAUAUUGGGAGGAACACCAGUGGCGAAGGCGGCUACCUGGACCGGUUCUGACGCUGAUGCGCGAAAGCGUGGGUAGCAAACAGG
rnacentral:rRNA from 1 species